ensembl:lncRNA LINC01579 long intergenic non-protein coding RNA 1579
GGCCGCUGCAAAGACACCGGCUGCACCAGGGGAGGUGCCGCCAGAGCUGCGCACUCAGCAAAGCCAGGGUGCCCACAGCAGAAUCCACAUGCCGUCCAUCUGGUCCAGCCUCACGCAGAGCCACAACUGUGCUGGCGCCUGGAGCUGCCAGCCCCACUGCAGCAGCCGGACUGACAUUCAGACGUGGAGCAAGUUGGACUGCAUAGGGACCCACCAGUGAGAUGGACGCUGUCUGUAAACGGGGAAAUUUAUGGAAAGAUGUCCUCCUGCAACUGCUGAAAAUGCAACAUGCUGCCCAGGUCCUGCUCAGACCACUGACAACUCAGAAGUUAAUACUCAGAGUGGAAAGCGUAGCAAAGUGUAGUACAUGAGCAAGCGUUUCAAGCCAGACGGAGUUAAUCAUCUCUGUCACUGAAUUGGAGCUCACGGUCUGCUGGACAACUGUGCUGAGUGGAAAGGAAGCCUCGAUGGCUAAGUCACUUGUCCAACCUCAGACACUGGCAGAUCCAGGAUUCAAACAGCUAGACUCCAAAUGUGUUUCCUUUAACCUCUUUUCUACCUUUUCAACUUGAUUCCACACAUCACCACUGGGAAAGCUUAGCUGUCCAGACACCCUGCUUGCCUGGCCAAUGCCACCAAAGAAUGGAACCUGCUUUUGUUCCACACUCCGUAGCCAGAAAAAAGAGACAGUUGUUCUGGCA